rnacentral:tRNA from 1 species
GGGCCCAUAGCUCAGUUGGUUAGAGCAAAUGACUCAUAAUCAUUAGGCCCAAGGUUCAAGUCCUUGUGGGCCCA